rnacentral:rRNA from 1 species
GACGAACGCUGGCGGCGUGCUUAACACAUGCAAGUCGAACGGUGAAGCGCCUUCCUUUUUGGUGGGUGUGGAUGAGUGGCGAACGGGUGAGUAACACGUGAGUAACCUGCCCCCUUCUUCUGGAUAACCGCAUGAAAGUGUGGCUAAUACGGGAUAUUCUGGGUCUGUCGCAUGAUGGGUCUGGGAAAGAUAUUGUUUCGGUGGGGGAUGGGCUCGCGGCCUAUCAGCUUGUUGGUGGGGUGAUGGCCUACCAAGGCGGUGACGGGUAGCCGGCCUGAGAGGGUGGACGGUCACACUGGGACUGAGACACGGCGCAGACUCCUACGGGAGGCAGCAGUGGGGAAUAGUGCACAAUGGGCGCAAGCCUGAUGCAGCGACGCCGCGUGAGGGAUGGAGGCCUUCGGGUUGUGAACCUCUUUCGCCAGUGAAGCAGGCCUGCCUCGUUUGUGGGUGGGUUGACGGUAGCUGGAUAAGAAGCGCCGGCUAACUACGUG